rnacentral:lncRNA from 1 species
GUUCUUGGGCGGCUGGAAAGUUAGAAAGUUUGUGAGGGCGGCGGCAAAGCUUCGCAGAGACGCUCACUCUUGGUUCUCGCGGCUGAGCAGGGUGAGUGGUGCUGGCCGCCGAGCGGGCGUGGCCCGGCCCCAGGAGGUGUCCUCGCCGGGCGGCGGUGAACGUGGGGGCCGCCGGGAGCCGCGGCUGGGGAGCGCACCUGGGCAGGAUUUAACCGCCACCAUGUCGAGCAAAAGAGCGAAGACCAAGACCACCAAGAAGCGCCCUCAGCGCGCAACGUCCAACGUGUUCGCCAUGUUUGACCAGUCCCAGAUCCAGGAGUUCAAAGAGGCCUUCAACAUGAUCGACCAGAACCGGG